AAUUAAGGUGAAACCGCGAAAGGCUCAUUAAAUCAGUUAUGGUUCCUUAGAUCGUACCCACAAUUACUUGGAUAACUGUGGUAAUUCUAGAGCUAAUACAUGCAAACAGAGCUCCGACCGGAGACGGAAGGAGUGCUUUUAUUAGAUCAAAACCAAUCGGUGGCGGGUUCGCU
rnacentral:rRNA from 1 species